rnacentral:rRNA from 1 species
GACGAACGCUGGCGGCGUGCUUAACACAUGCAAGUCGAACGGUGAAGCGCUUUCCUUUUUGGUUGGUGUGGAUGAGUGGCGAACGGGUGAGUAACACGUGAGUAACCUGCCCCCUUCUUCUGGAUAACCGCAUGAAAGUGUGGCUAAUACGGGAUAUUCUGCGCCUGCUGCAUGGUGGGUGUGGGAAAGAUUGUGCCUUUGGGUGUUUUCGGUGGGGGAUGGGCUCGCGGCCUAUCAGCUUGUUGGUGGGGUGAUGGCCUACCAAGGCGGUGACGGGUAGCCGGCCUGCGGGGGUGGACGGUCACACUGGGACUGGGACACGGCCCAGACUGCUACGGGAGGCAGCAGUGGGGAAGAUUGCACAAUGGGCGCAAGCCUGAUGCAGCGACGCCGCGUGAGGGAUGGAGGCCUUCGGGUUGUGAACCUCUUUCGCCAGUGAAGCAGGCCUGCUCCUUGUGGGUGGGUUGACGGUAGCUGGAUAAGAAGCGCCGGCUAACUACGUG